rnacentral:rRNA from 1 species
CAUCGUUGCCCAAACACAUGUCCUUCUCCGGGCAUCACAAGAAGGGCGGAUGCUGGCCUCCCGUGAGCACGCCUCGCGGUUGGCCUAAAUGCGAGUCCACGGUGGCGAGCACCACGACGCACGGUGGUUGAGUAAAAGCUCGAAGCCAGUCCUGCGUGUCUCGUCCCAAUACACGGCUCCUUGACCCUCUUGCAUCCACGGUCGUCCAACGCGA